GUUUCGGCUAAGCCAUGCGAGUCUAGGGAUCGCAAGAUACCGGCAUACUGCUCAGUAACACGCGGAUAAUCUGCCCCCAGGUGAAGAAUACCCUCGGGAAACUGAGGCUAAUACUUCAUAAUCACUAUAUGCUGGAAUGCUUUGGUGAUGAAAGAAUUUCGCCUGAGGAUGAGUCUGCGGCCUAUCAGGUCGUAUGUGGUGUAAUGGACCGCAUAGCCUAAGACGGGUACGGGCCUUGAAAGAGGGAGCCCGGAGAUGGACUCUGAGACAUUAGUCCAGGCCCUACGGGGCGCAGCAGGCGCGAAAACUGUGCAAUGCGCGAAAGCGCGACACGGGAAGCCUGAGUGCCUUAACACAGUUAAGGCUUUUCUCAAGCCUAAAAAGCUAGAGGAA
rnacentral:rRNA from 1 species